rnacentral:rRNA from 1 species
AACGAACGCUGGCGGCAUGCCUAACACAUGCAAGUCGAACGGGAUCCUAGCUUGCUAGGUGAGAGUGGCGGACGGGUGAGUAACACGUGGGAAUCUGCCUUUUGGUUCGGGAUAACCGCGGGAAACUGCGGCUAAUACCGAAUGCCCUCGAGAGAGGAAAGAUUUAUCGCCAGAAGAGGAGCCCGCGUCCGAUUAGGUAGUUGGUGGGGUAAAGGCCUACCAAGCCGACGAUCCGUAGCUGGUCUGAGAGGAUGAUCAGCCACACUGGGACUGAGACACGGCCCAGACUCCUACGGGAGGCAGCAGUGGGGAAUAUUGGACAAUGGGCGAAAGCCUGAUCCAGCAAUGCCGCGUGAGUGAUGAAGGCCUUAGGGUUGUAAAGCUCUUUUACCCGGGAUGAUAAUGACAGUACCGGGAGAAUAAGCCCCGGCUAACUCCGUGCCAGCAGCCGCGGUAAU